CUGGGGCGCUCGCCGGCCGGCUGACGUGCGCUGCUGGUGGGUGCCGGGUGUGGUGGGGGUGCGGGGAGGGCGACGGAGCUGAAGCAACUUGGAGGCAGCGCCCGGAAAGGCAACUGAUUGCUCAGCCUUGCAGGUUGCCGAUUGCAAAUUGCUCGAGACUCCCCCGCUCAAGGAAGGGAGGAGAGAGCAUUAGUAGAGGCAGCCUCCGAAAUGUGGCAAUCUCGUUUCAAUGCUGUAGGGUGCUCUCACUCUCUUUACCCUCAGUGCAUUGCUUCUGUUACCUUCCCUGGCCUCGGGUACUUGCAGAACUUCCCCCUUUGAAGGAUAAGCCGUUCGGUGUCCAAUAAUGCAAUGGCUGGAGGACAAGAGAGCAUCAGAGUAAUUGGGUGGACGUGUUGGAUAUUAAUGGUAAUUCUGAUGGUGUGGAGUCACCAGACCAAUGGACAAGGGCAAGAUAACUCUGCCAUUUUGCUGGGGCUGGCUCCAGCUUUUUUACUGCCCCAAGCAGCGAAGAGAAAGAGAAGUGGAAAAA